rnacentral:rRNA from 1 species
CUGCAUCGCACAUUCUUCCUGCCUCCGGCAGUGAAACUCUCGCCGACCGGAUCGUCGAUCUGUAGCCGUAAGAUGCCACCUUUGCUAGCCCCGGCAACCGGGUCCUCAUGGGCAUCGCUGCCAGAAGAUCUGGUUCGCCAUGUUGGCUGGCGCUUGCUGGCCGGCAACGUGAUGGACUACGUUCGUUUGGGUGCUGUUUGCACCAAUUGGCGGUCUGCCACCAUGUCAACGCAUGGCCGUGGUGUCAUUGACCCACGCUUUCACCCGCGCCGCUGGAUGAUGUUCGAGGACCACGGGCUUUAUUCUGGCCAUGAAAGGCUCGGUGAACACACACGCUCCUUCAACCUUGACUCUGGGGUUUUUGUUCGCGUCCGGCUCCCGCUGUUCAAGGAUCAUUGUGUUCUCGACUCGGUCGAGAGC